CUGUGUGUAAGAAUUCCAACUGCACAGCCCUGCACUUUGGCUGUUUGUAAUGAAAAGGGUUGGGAUGAGUCAGGGAGAGCAAGUGUGGGGGCAGUUUCUAGGGCUGUUUUUAAGGAACUGAAAGGAGUGGUGAAAGGAUUUAGGAUCUGUGGGGUGCUUUUGUGAGUUUAUAUAAUGGUUUAGUCAGGGUGGUAAAACUAGGUAUCCAAAGGCGGAAGUACCUAACCAUGCCUAGGAAGGAAAGGAGUUGUUGUUUUGUAGAAGGGAUUGGGGUUUGGGAGAUUAGCCAGACACGAUCAGCAGGGAGAGCAUGUGUGUUUUCAUGAGAAUUAUGCCAAGAUAGGUAACAGAUGAGGAAGAAAUUUGGGCUUGACUGAAGUAAUGGGGGCCGUCUGUGAAGCCUUGUGGCAGUACACCCAGCUGUUGUAAAAAGGAUUGAGUUCUUGAUUGAUUCCCAGCUUGGUCAUUGGUGUAUAGCAGUGCUACUGAUUUGUUUACAUUCAUUUUGUAACCUGAGACUUUACUGAAUUCGUGUAUCAGAUCUAGGAGCCUUUUGGUUCUUCAUCGGGUAAUUGAGCUGAUAUCAGGUGUCUGAAGGAGGCAAGUUUUGAAGAUGUGGGUCAUGAUGGCUGCUGAAGCUUCCACUCCAUAUUUGAAGGUCAGCAGUUCUCAGGAAACCUCUAGCACUUCCAUCCCUGGUGGGAUGUGAUGCCUGUCUCAGUGUAACAUCAGAGAAGGGGUGUACUCUGUGCCCUAGAACUAGGAGCUAACAGAGAAAAACCAAAUGUGAUGUGGAGUCUGCUAGACAGGCUACUGGAGCAAGAGUGAAGCGAUGAAAGUCUCAUCAUUGGGACAUAUUAGUGUGACAUGCAUAAAGGAAUUUCUUAUUGAGCCCCAGGAAGAAGAAACACUACAUAAGAGCAAAUAAUAAAAUCGGUCAGAUAGACAGAAGAUGGGAGUCAUCAAACCUGUAUCCCUCUUGCCAGACCUAUCAACUGACCAUACGUCAUUCAGGAGGCAGCAGGUGGCUGAAAUCCUGGUGUGAUGUGGCUGGAUCAUGCAUGAUCUGAGGACUCCUGCACAGGUGACUGCAGGAUGAGUACAGAAUUUUUCUAUAAAUAUACUAAAAUACCAAGUAAGCCAGGAGCAGCCACUAGGCAAACACCAAACCUUGCAUUCCUGGCCAAACCUAUCACAGAGCUCAUCAGGUAAGUUCAAAGACACACCUGUCUUCCCAGCAUUGGGAACUGGAUUGGGGUCUACUCAGAGGCAUGAUGUUGACCAGAUUUUAUGAAACACCCAAGAAUGUAGAGAACAUUCUGUCUUUAAAACCUUGAAUUCAAAACAUAUCAGAGAGAGAUUUACUUCCCUUAUAUGGAUGUCUGUGUUCUCAUUAGGAGAGAAACAAUGAAAAAUGACUUUUCACAAUGCCUGCCUUAGCCGUGAGGCUCAGCCAACCCCCACUUCUAUGUCUCAGCAUUUAAAGGGCAAUUGAAGUCCCACUCCAUGCUAUAUACUCUCAAGAGGUUUUCUCAUUUACCCUUCAGAACAGCUCUGUAAAGAUGGUAUGGUCAGUCCCAUUUCACAGAUGACUAAGCUCAGGCUCACAGAGCCUAAGUCACCCCUCCAGGUAAGUGGCAGGGUUGGAAUGAGGUUCUAUUCCUCACCCUCCCUAGAGAACCCUGAGCAGCUUCCGUUUUAGAAGAUGGGUUUCCAGGGCUUGAGAAAUGGUCAGAUUCCCCCCUGAUAUUGUGGCCCCACAGGUCCUCACUCCACAACCCCUCUGGGUGAUGAGGAAGACAGAAGAGGUGAAAUCCUGCGCUUUGUGCCAUGAGAUCUGGGUGUAGGGCCACAGGAGUUAGCUAAUCCUUGAAGUGGUGAGUGGGCUCAGGCAGAAGCUCAAGUGUUGGCCUUGGGACAGGUGAGCUGGAGAGAAGGAAAGUAACAUGCACUGAACCACUGUAAGCAAAUGCAAUUUACAGCUCAUCUCCUUUAAUCCUAACAACCAUUUAAGAUACUCAUCAUUCUGACCAUUAUUCAGAUCAGUGUGCUGUCUUUAGGGGAGUUUAUGUAAGUCAGGGAAACAACCUAGUUGUCCUGUGAUCAUCAGCUAACUCUGGAAUACUCCAAAGUUGUAUCAUUUUCUCUUGAUGUCUCCAGGGCUCUGAAUGUUCUAAUCUCCCUGCAGGCUGAUAGCGCCUGCUCCUCAUGGUGUUAUUCAACAUUUUUUCUUUUUAAAUUAUGACCUGUAUAUUUUUGUCACAUUAUUGACAUUUAAAACACUUUCUCAGUAAAAAUAAGGCUAAACAUUUUUUAACUUAAGGGAGAAAACAUUUGCAAACUACAUCUCAGAUACUGGGUUAGUAUCCAUGAUUUGUGAACCACAUUCUGUAACAAAAUGACUGGCAGCUGUUUUCAACAGACAUUCUCAUUAAAAUGUACAUGAACAAUAAACAUGUUAAAAUAUGUCAAAACUGGAAGUACUAAUAAGAUGCAAAUAUAAAUCUUCAAGAGAAUAUUAUGUGGAAGAAAAAAGUUGCAAAAAAAAUUAGUACUGUGAUUCACUUUUGGAACAGAUUGUGUGUUUGCGUGCACCUCACCUACAGGGACACAUCUGGAGAGUAUGCACCAUUCUGUUGACAACAGACCCUUUUGGGUCAGAGGGUAGGCUUCAGGCCAGUGAGAUAUGCAGAUUCAUUUCAAUUUAUAAAUAUACUUUUAUACAUUGUUUGAAAUUUUGUAUUUAGGGAAAAAAGCAUUUCAAUAAAUACUUUUGAAUAGAUUGGCAACAGUAAUUGUAAUGUAUUUCAUUAAUUCGAAAGUACAUUCAUUGUAUUCAAUUUUGUAUUGAGACAAAGUAGAUAAAAAUGGAAUUGAUAAUGUCUAUGUGUGUGAGUGUGUGUGUGUGUGUGUGUGUGUAUCUUCUCUUGCUCUAUCACCCAAAUAAACAUACGUGCAGCUUUACCUUUAAUUCAGACAGGGGAUGGAACCAAUAUCAGUUUUAGAUAUCCCAGAAAAUAGUGGAUACAGAGAGACAGCUACCAUGAGCUGAAUAAUUCCGGAAGACUCCAGCUGAUACCUUCUGGGAGCCAAAUUCCCAAACUCCAUCCCUCUUUCCCUCUUACCGAGGCCCUUGGCUGACAGAGAUGCAAUCCUGUCUCUGGGCACCAGAUGGCAUCGAUCUCUUUAUUUUUUUUUUUUUAAUAAAAAGGAGUAUAUUUUGUAGAGUAACGAAGGACUUAAAAUGGUUUGUUUACCAUGAUCAUAAUUCUGU
rnacentral:lncRNA from 1 species